CUGCGCAGGCCUAACACAUGCAAGUCGAACGGCAGCGGGGGAUAGCUUGCUAUCCUGCCGGCGAGUGGCGGACGGGUGAGUAAUGCAUGGGGAGCUGCCCAAUCGAGGGGGAUAACAACUGGAAACGGUUGCUAAUACCGCAUACGCCCUGCGGGGGAAAGGUGGGGACCUUCGGGCCUACCGCGAUUGGAUGCACCCAUGUGGGAUUAGCUAGUUGGUGAGGUAACGGCUCACCAAGGCGACGAUCUCUAGCUGGUCUGAGAGGAUGACCAGCCACACUGGAACUGAGACACGGUCCAGACUCCUACGGGAGGCAGCAGUGGGGAAUAUUGCACAAUGGGGGAAACCCUGAUGCAGCCAUGCCGCGUGUGUGAAGAAGGCCUUCGGGUUGUAAAGCACUUUCAGUG
rnacentral:rRNA from 1 species